rnacentral:rRNA from 1 species
UACGGGGGGGCAAGCGUUGUUCGGAAUUACUGGGCGUAAAGGGCUCGUAGGCGGCCAACUAAGUCAGACGUGAAAUCCCUCGGCUUAACCGGGGAACUGCGUCUGAUACUGGAUGGCUUGAGAUUGGGAGAGGGAUGCGAAAUUCCAGGUGUAGCGGUGAAAUGCGUAGAUAUCUGGAGGAACACCGGUGGCGAAGGCGGCAUCCUGGACCAACACUGACGCUGAGUGAGCGAAAGCCAGGGGAGCAAACGGG